UACGGGGGGGGCAAGCGUUGUUCGGAAUUACUGGGCGUAAAGGGCUCGUAGGCGGCCAACUAAGUCGGACGUGAAAUCCCCAGGCUCAACCUGGGAACUGCGUCCGAUACUGGAUGGCUUGAAUUCGGGAGAGGGAUGCAGAAUUCCAGGUGUAGCGGUGAAAUGCGUAGAUAUCUGGAGGAAUACCGGUGGCGAAGGCGGCAUCCUGGGCAGUUGCUGACACUGAGGCGCGACAGCGUGGGGAGCAAACAGG
rnacentral:rRNA from 1 species